CUUACUCAGCUAUUAACGGAAUUUAGCCCUCAGUUGAUUCUAUUCCCCAUUAGUCACUUCCCUUUUGGGUUGCAGAUGAUGGCUGGCAAUUACUGCUCUUUUAUGUGGAUCUUAUUGCCCCUCCUUUUGACCCUGGGGGAGUUCAAGCCUGGUGACCUUGCUUUAAUCAGGGCAUUGCUAUUGCAUGGGUAUAUAACUGUAAGCCUCAGAGACUUGGGAGGACCGGACAGAGAAGAGAAAAGGGAAUGGAAGAACCAGAUGGGAAGGACUGAGGUGGCCAUUCACUGCCGGAAGAGUGUCAAUGGAUGCAAUUUUGGGCACCUGGCAUCACCCAACACAGCUGAGCACCAUACAGCUGCCACGGGACCCUUUUAUUUUAUGCCAGCCUUGUUACGUGUGUCCAGCCCACCACACAGAGGAGUUGGAAACUCAUGGUUGACAGUGCUGUCCACAUGCCCCUAUCCAUGUGAGGCUGAGCCAGGAAAGCCAGAACCUAAGCACACACCAGCAUCAACAGAAGAAGCACACAGACCGCAGCACCCCUUUGUUUCGGGGUUUCUCUGUGUAGCUUUGCGCCUUUCCUGGAACUCACUUGGUAGCCCAGGCUGGCCUCAAACUCACAGAGAUCCGCCUGCCUCUGCCUCCCGAGUGCUGGGAUUAAAGGCGUGCGCCACCACCGGCCUGGCAGCCCAUGACUAACUUCUGCAGUGAGCAAAGAGGAAACUUUACUUGUCUCCCGUGACAGAUGACUAGACCAAGACUUUGAGAGGAGACAUGGUUAGCCUGUGCUUACAAACAAGCCGAUGGAGAGCUGAACAUUGACCAUAGGGCUUCUGAAUCCAGAAAUAGCAGCAAGAUUCCUACGGCAACCCCAACCCCUCCAUUUCCUCAAGUGUAAAGCAAAGGCUGAGGUCUGACCCAAGAAUAGACUCCUUCCACGCUGCCGUGACUAGGGUGGAGACCCGCCUUGUCACCCAAGCCUGUGCUGUCUCCUGUCAUCAAGCAAUCCCCAUGGCUAAACCCAGCAAUCCAGAUUUGUCCUCUGUCACCACUUUCCAGCACUGUACGAGACAAAUAGAUUCAGCCAGUGAGGCGGCUCAGCAGAUAAAGGCGCUUGCUGCCAAGCCUGAUGACCUGAGUUCAAGUCCCGGAACCCACAUGGUGGAAGGUGUAAGCUGACUCCUGCAAGUUGUCCUCGGUUUCACGCAUGCACCGUGGCACAUAAGCACACACGCUGUCUCACCCACACAACCCAUAUAAAUAAGUUUACAUUAAUACAGGAGCUGGAGAUACGGCUCUCUGGUUGAGAGCCCUGGCAACUCUUGGAAAGAGUUUUAUUGAUUCCUGGCACCCACAGGAAGGCUUACAACCACCUGUAACUCCAGUUCCGGGGACUCCGAUGCCCUCUUCUGAACUCCGAGGGUACCAGACACACACGUGAUACACAGGCAUACAUGCAGACGAAGCACUCAUACACACAAAAAUAAAUUUUUAAUAUAUAUAAAUAAAGCUAUUGAUCAGUGUGGGGAGAGUGCAGCAUAGAUUUUUUUUGUCAUGAACACAGUACCUCUCUCCAUCCCUCUGGUACUUUGAUCAGCAUAUAGAAUUUAAACAGGCUUUGUUACAUUUAUAUCUACGCAUUUCUCUCAUGGGGGGAGUUACUGUAUUGCAUACGCCUUUGUCUCUUUGAUGCUACUAUAAAGAAAUACCUUGUUAUUUUACAUUUUGACCUUAUAUGCUGAACUCACUUACAUUCUAAGCUUUUGUGUGUACAUGUGGGAUUCCUUGGCAUUUUCUAUGUAGCAAGCAUGUAAUUUACCAAGAGCUUAAGGGCCAGCAAGAUGGUUCUAUUAGAAAGCCUGACAACCUAAGUUCGAUCCCGGGGACCCACAGGAUGGAAGGAUAGAACUGAUUCCUGAAAGCAUCCUCUGACCUACACACACACACACACACACACACACACACACACACACACACACACACAAAGUAAUGUAAUAAUUUUAUAAGUAAAAAAAGUUUUGCUUUCUCCUUUCUAGUCACGUGACUUUUUCCACUCUGUCCCCUUGCUUUUUGUAUUGGUCUAGUGUGAGGAAGAACAGAAAGGGUGAAAAUAAACAUUUCGUCCUUGUUUCCAAUCUUCGGGUGAAAGAACUCAUCUUUCAGCAUUGAUGUGGCAUUUGGAAGUGUGGGGCGGAGUGGAUUUUGUGGGGACAAUUCAGGGACUUGAAUUUGACAAGAUGGGUUUGAG